rnacentral:rRNA from 1 species
UACCAGCACCCCGAGUGGUCGGGACGUUUAUUGGGCCUAAAGCAUGCGUAGCCGGUUCUACGAGUCUUCCGUUAAAUCCAACUGCUUAACAGGUGGGCUGCGGAAGAUACUAUAGAGCUAGGAGGCGGGAGAGGCAAGCGGUACUCGAUGGGUAGGGGUAAAAUCCGUUGAUCCAUUGAAGACCACCAGUGGCGAAGGCGGCUUGCCAGAACGCGCUCGACGGUGAGGGAUGAAAGCUGGGGGAGCAAACCGG